GCCUUCUGUGUGGGCUUGCCCCUCGCCACACCUGGCCAGGAGCCUCCCCCAGCCCCGUGACCCUUGUGUCAGAGCCUGGCCAGAUGACAGACGGCCUGGGGUGCAGGCGAGACCCACUGAACUGGCAGCUGAGGACAGGUCCAGGCCCAGUGGCUGGGGGACUUCUCAGAGCAGGUACCACAACAGCUACCCAAGGACUCAGGACUUUUCUCCCACAGCCAGACUUGGUGAUUGCAUGAAGGAGCCCAGCCUCGGAUGACCUUUCCCCGUGACAAGGCACUAGGAGAGCACAGACCUCCCCACACAAACACUGAGACACCCAACCUUGCGUGACCUUGAGCCAAACACAACUCUUAGGAUGUAACCUGCUUUACAAGAUGAGAAAGACACGAGUAAAAACAUCAGCAGACUCUGGAAGGCGAGCUGGUGGAUUCAACUGGGACUCAGAAGA
rnacentral:lncRNA from 1 species